AAAUGCGAUAAGUAAUGUGAAUUGCAGAAUUCAGUGAAUCAUCGAAUCUUUGAAUGCACAUUGCGCCCGCCAGUAUUCUGGCGGGCAUGCCUGUCCGAGCGUCAUUUCAACCAUCAAGCCCCCGGGCUUGUGUUGGGGACCUGCGGCUGCCCGCAGGCCCUGAAAACCAGUGGCGGGCUCGCUGUCACACCGAGCGUAGUAGCAAUCACCUCGCUCAGGGCGUGCUGCGGGUUCCGGCCGUUAAACAGCCUUACAAAACCCAAGGUUGACCUCGGAUCAGGUAGGAAGACCCGCUGAACUUAAGC
rnacentral:misc_RNA from 1 species